UGUCUGUCCACCAUUUCUAAUCAAGUGCUGAGUUUUCAUGUUGAAAUUCCUUAAAUGAAGCCUUCUCUGGGUUGUGUCUUCCUUCAUUUUCUAGGUUUAAAAGUGGAAUGCAUGUAUAGAUUGAGCUAGCAGAGGAAAUUGGGCUUCCUUUUUUAAGCUCUGAUGAUUGAACACAAAUUGUCUGGCUUGUGUUUUGGUGAGUAAAACGCAACACAGAAAUGACUUUUUUUCCCUCCUUCACUGUUGCUUUUAGAUAUUGUCCAGCCAUGCAGUGGACCAUGUUUAGUGAAGGGCCUGAACCAGAAGAGAACCAGAUUGAUUGCUCUGAUUUUCUCCCACUGCAAUCUCAUGGGCGGAAAGCUGACUUCCUAUUGAAGAGUCUCCUAUCAUCAAAUUAGCUUUUCAUUUGUCCACCUGAAUGGCGCUGAUAAGUAUAACAAUGAAGCCCUGUGACAGCAGAUGGCUAUACGUCUGAAGCUCUUGAUUAUCUCACGAUGGCGUAAAUUGAAGCAAACAGCAGCUGGAGAUGAGCGUGAAGUUCAGAAGGAACCACCAACUG
rnacentral:lncRNA from 1 species